GACGAACGCUGGCGGCGUGCUUAACACAUGCAAGUCGAACGCUGAACCCGCUUCGGUGGGGGAUGUGUGGCGAACGGGUGAGUAACACGUGGGCAACCCGCCCCCGGCUCUGGGAUAACUCCAAGAAAUUGGGGCUAAUACCGGAUGUGACCGCUGGCCGCAUGGUCUGGUGGUGGAAAGGGUUUCCGGCUGGGGAUGGGCCCGCGGCCUAUCAGCUUGUUGGUGGGGUAGUGGCCUACCAAGGCGACGACGGGUAGCCGGCCUGAGAGGGUGACCGGCCACACUGGGACUGAGACACGGCCCAGACUCCUACGGGAGGCAGCAGUGGGGAAUAUUGCGCAAUGGGCGGAAGCCUGACGCAGCGACGCCGCGUGGGGGAUGACGGCCUUCGGGUUGUAAACCUCUUUCAGCAGGGACGAAGCGCAAGUGACGGUACCUGCAGAAAAAGCACCGGCCAACUACGUG
rnacentral:rRNA from 1 species